rnacentral:rRNA from 1 species
GGGGGGUGCAAGCGUUAUUCGGAAUCACUGGGCGUAAAGAGCGCGUAGGCGGUCUCUUAAGUCAGAUGUGAAAGCCCGGGGCUUAACCCCGGAAGUGCAUUUGAAACGGAGGGACUUGAGUAUGGGAGAGGGAAGUGGAAUUCCUGGUGUAGCGGUGAAACGCGUAGAUAUCAGGAGGAACACCGGUGGCGAUGGCGACUUCCUGGACCAAUACUGACGCUGAGGCGCGAAGGCGUGGGGAGCAAACAGGAUUAGAUACCCUGGUAGUCCACGCAGUAAACGUUGAACACUAGGUGUAGCGGGUAUUGACCCCCCUGCUGUGCCCGCAGCUAACGCAUUAAGUGUUCCGCCUGGGGAAGUACGGCCCGCAAGGCUA